GAUGAACGUUGGCGGCGUGCCUGAGAUAUGCAAGUUGGGCGACUCCGACCUUGUGUUGGAGAGCGGCGAACGGCUGAGUAACACGUAGGAACCUGCCCCUAAGUAGAGAAUAGCCCAUCGAAAGAUGGGGUAAUGCUCUAUAGUCCCCUCCAAUUUGGAGGGGUAAAGGAUUUAACCGUCCGCUUAGGGAGGGGCCUGCGGCCUAUCAGGUAGUUGGUGGGGUAAUAGCCUACCAAGCCUAUGACGGGUAGCUGGCCUUAUGAGGGUGGUCAGCCAGAGGGGGACUGAGACACGGCCCCCACUCCUACGGGAGGCAGCAAUCAGGAAUAGUCGGCAAUGGGCGAAAGCCCGACCGCGCGACGCCGCGUGCGGGAAGAAGCUCUUCGGAGUGUAAACCGCUGUGGUAGGGGAGGAAAUCCCAAAUUAUUUUGGGAAUGACAGUACCCUACUAGAAAGGGGCCGCUAACUGCGUGCCAGAAGCGUCGGUAAUACGUGGGCCCCAAACGUUAUCCGGUGUUACUGGGCGUAAAGGGUCGUGUAGGCGUCCUAUUAAGUUUUAUCUCAAAGCCUAUGGCUUAACCAUAGAACGGGAUAAAAAACUGAUAGGAUAGAAUUUCCUCA
rnacentral:rRNA from 1 species